rnacentral:rRNA from 1 species
GAAGGUGGCAAGCGUUAUCCGGAAUCAUUGGGCGUAAAGCGUCUGUAGGCGGCCCUACAAGUUUCCUGUUAAAUUCCAGUGCUCAACAUUGGGACCGCGGGGAAAACUGUAGGGAUUGAGGAAGAUAGAGGUAGAUGGAAUUCCCAGUGUAGCAGUGAAAUGCGUUAAUAUUGGGAGGAACACCAAUAGCGAAGGCAAUCUACUGGAUCUUUCCUGACGCUGAGAGACGAAAGCGUGGGUAGCGAAGGGGGGAUUAGAUACCCCCGUAGUCCACGCCGUAAACGCUGGAUAUUAGGUAUAGGGAGAGUCGACCCUUUCUGUACCGUAGCUAACGUGUUAAAUAUCCCGCCUGGGAAGUACGGUCGCAAGACUA